rnacentral:misc_RNA from 1 species
AACGCACCUUGCGCCCUUUGGCCACCCCCAAAGGGCAUGCCUGUUUGAGUAUCAUGAACACCUCAACUCUUCGUGGUUUUCCAUGAUGAGCUUGGACUUUGGGGGUUUUGCUGGCCUUUAUAGUCAGCUCCUCUGAAAUGAAUCAGCUUGCCAGUGUUUGGUGGGCAUCACAGGUGUGAUAACUAUCUACGCUUGUGGUUUUCCACCAGGUAACCUUCAGCAGUGGAGGUUCGCUGGAGCUCACAGACGUCUCUCCUCAGUGAGGACAGCCCUUUGAAUGUUUGAUCUCAAAUCAGGUAGGACUACCCGCUGAACUUAA